rnacentral:lncRNA from 1 species
AGAAAGUCAAUCCCCUCACAAAUCUGCGGAUCCUAUCUGUCUCAUUUGAUGCUCUGAUACAAUUUUGUCACGAUCCAAAAAUGGGUGUGAUGGCCCUCUUCUUAUCCCACCAAGACAAGUCAGCCUAAAAUCCAAUAUCAAACAAAGUGCGGAAGUAAAUGACAAUUCAACAACAAUUUCUAUUAUGAAAACAAGUCAUAUUAAUUCAAUCCCUAAAACCAGGUUGUCACGUGCACAAGCCUCUUAUGUAAAUAUUAGAAUUGAAAUAAAAUAGAAGUCUAAAAUGAAUUUGUCUUUCAAGUAAAAACAAAGUCAUAAACUAAAGUAGGAAAGUUCGCUGAGAUGACAAGCAGCUACCUCACAACCCUACACAAGAUGCCUCAGAAACAAAAAGAGUGUCAGGUAUCACGAAGAUCCGGGCUCGUAACCUACAAAAAAUUGUUGAAGCAAGGGGUGAGUACCAAACCACGCGGUACCCAACAAGCAAACAUCUAAAGACAAGUUAAGUGAACAAAAUACGAGUACUCCUUACACCCUAUCUAAACCUCCACGCUACAGCCUAACAGUUUAAAGUUUACCAAACACACAACUCAAUAACCACACUCUAUUAAUGUACACAUUCUCAAUAACAACUUAAUAUUCAACAGGCACAAGCUUCACAGAGAAACAAUCACAAGAUCAGCAAAACACGUGUUCAAGUUCAUCAAUAAUAGAAUGUGCAAUGCCAUGAGAUGCAAUGUCAAAUAUAGUGAUGCAUGUCUUUCUUAACGAUACACACCCGCUGUCUCUCAGUCCGGAACCCAUGGGGACAUAUCUGUCCAUGCAUCUGUCGCGGCGCACGACACGACCCUCGAUAAUAGUUACCUUCGCGGUGCGCGUUACGUCCCUCGAACUCGAAAUGGUACAUCCUCUUACCACAUUCAUGUCUCAGAUACAAUUCAAAUGACAUGAUCAAUGAAUAUGAGGAGAUAACCAUUUUGAUAACAAAGCGCAAUUUACAACAAGGAAUACAACACCAACAAAUAAGCAACAAGUCUCCAAGUCAUUCUCAACACUACACAAGGAAAUACACGAAUUUCAUACGCUUAACAAGGGUUUAGAAAUCCACUAGCCUUAGUCAAUCGAUAAUCAGUCUGGGACUUGAGCAUUCCCUUUUCGUUGAACUUGCGAAUCGAUGCAACCUAUUCAAGUAUAUAUAUUCACUAUAAGAUUUCGGUACUAACAAUACCUACAUUUAUUUAUUUAUUUAUUUAUUUGUGUUUAACCUUGAAAUAAAAAUUCACCAAAUCUAUAAUCAAGUUUGUAAUUCUUGAUGUCAAUUAAAAUUUCCUCUCUCAUAAUUUUUUUUUUCACGUUUCUAGCCUAGGAUUCAAUUUGUAUUAUUUCUUUUCCACUAUCAUAAUUCGAAUGACAUUCACUCAACACCAUACAUAUAAUAUUUAAUUACCCAUGCCUACCUAUCAAAAUUAGAUUCACAGUAAAAUGACCUAGAUAUAAACUUUGCACUACUAAUUUAAUGAGAAUAGUGCUAAUGAACCCCUAUUAUUAUUAUUAUUUUGUUCUUCUGUUUAACAAUUUUUUUAUAUUUUUUUUCCAGCCAAUGAUUGGCUCAUUAUGGCCAAUUAUUGGCUUAUUAUGACCAAUCAUUUGCUCAUUAUGGCCAAUCCAAAUAUUCCCCAUUCUUUCUCUUAGUGUCCUGGAAACAUUAACGUACCAGUUAACCACAUAAAAAUUAUUACUACUAAUUUUUCACUCAAUAAUUCUAGCACUUAAUUUAUUAUUUUAUAAGAUUUUUAUUGUUUCUCUAAUGCAAACUAAUAAUAGCCUUCACAUGGCCUUCAAUUAUCACCAUUUACGGCUGCCCCAUAUUGCACUAAAAAGGUACUUUAAUUUCUCAAUAAAUCCAGAUCUUGAAUUCAUAUUAUAUCCCAUUUAUCACACAUAAUUGACAAAUUAAAAAUAAUUAGGUCAAAGUACCAUGGAUUGUUACCUGAAGAUCAAAGAAACCUCUCGUGUGCGUACGCUUAGGUAGGUUUCUG